rnacentral:antisense_RNA from 1 species
CUUCACCGACCCCAGCCACAGCGGUCGCCGCGGGUCCCGGUCCCGCCCGUAGGUGGCGAGCAGCGCCUGCGCCUC